GACGAACGCUGGCGGCGUGCUUAACACAUGCAAGUCGAACGGAAAGGCCCUGCUUUUGUGGGGUGCUCGAGUGGCGAACGGGUGAGUAACACGUGAGUAACCUGCCCUUGACUUUGGGAUAACUUCAGGAAACUGGGGCUAAUACCGGAUAGGAGCUCCUGCUGCAUGGUGGGGGUUGGAAAGUUUCGGCGGUUGGGGAUGGAUUCGCGGCUUAUCAGCUUGUUGGUGGGGUAGUGGCUUACCAAGGCUUUGACGGGUAGCCGGCCUGAGAGGGUGACCGGCCACAUUGGGACUGAGAUACGGCCCAGACUCCUACGGGAGGCAGCAGUGGGGAAUAUUGCACAAUGGGCGGAAGCCUGAUGCAGCAACGCCGCGUGCGGGAUGACGGCCUUCGGGUUGUAAACCGCUUUCGCCUGUGACGAAGCGUGAGUGACGGUAAUGGGUAAAGAAGCACCGGCUAACUACGU
rnacentral:rRNA from 1 species